UGCGAUGUCAUAAUUGCCUGGUUAUUUGGAUGAUGGAUGUGUCAUAUCUGAAAACAAACUAGUUAUCUUGCAAAAUUUAUUUCAACAUGCAUUAUCCGAACCACCAAAGAUGGGAACACUGCAUGGAUAAAUAUGAUAAAAACCAUGAUGGAUUUAGAAGCCUGGUGCUCAGGUGAAAUCAGACACGUGUUGGACGCACUUGUAUUGAUGGUAACCUAGCAGGUGAUCUGAACUGGUAAGGCCAUCUUACCCGCUUGCCUCACGCAAUGCUGAAUCAUUUUCAAAUUCAACGGGUGUUGGAAUGGACUCUUCACAUAUUAUCAAUCAAACCUGAAAACAUUUUCUCACAGAUCUGCGCCCAAGAGAAGACAUUUUUCCUGGAAUGGCAUUAAAAAAGAAUGAAAGAAAGAAAGAAAGUCAAGUAUAAUCCUUCCUACAAAUUCUGGAGGCUUCUGAAUAUCCUUCUGGUGAAUUUCCUUUCUGCCUUUGCUAGCCAAACGAGAGUGGCCGAACACUUUCUGCUUUUGCCACCAGAGAACCGUAAGAUGCUACGGCAUGCGUCUCUCGUCGCCCAGGUUGGAGGGGUGAGCGGGGAUCCCCAUCCCCUUUUUAAGUAUUGGGAACCGUGGGUUCAGAGAGGUUGAAUGACUUCGUGGCCCAAAUCUCACAGCGAAUGAAUGACAGAGCCGUGAUCCGUUCUCACAGCUUUUACCUCUGCUUUGGAGGCGCAUCUUCAAAGAUUUGAGCUUCUCAUACGAUACUGCAUGAAAGGCUGGCGUUCUGGAAAUGAAGGAAUCGCCUAAUAAAACUCUGAUCUGGAAAAGGGUCACAGAAGUUUCUGCGGGGAUCCCCUGAAGCUCGUGAGAAUGUGGCCUCCAGGUGUGGAUUUCAUGAAAAAUGUCGGCCUCCAGUUCCUCGAGGAUGUGCCAACUCCACACCGAUUUAAUUUCUUAGAGAUAAGUGGCAUUUGAGACCAUUCUUCUGAUAAGGUAAACUUCCCUUGAUUAAAGAAAAAGGGAGGGUUCAACUCUGUGAACAUUGGUUGAGUACCUAAUCUGUGUAAGCGACUGUACCAGUCAUGGCUUGAAAUAAAGUAAGUUAAAUAGAGUCUGUGCCCACAAGGACGGAUGGCAAUAGCAGGGCAGGAAAAGCAAGACACUAAUGAAAUCUAAUCCCACGGGAGACAAGUGAGGGACAGUGGAGCCAGCCAUUUUGUGUUGUGGGGGGAGGGGAAGACAGAGAGAGAGAGAGAGAGAGAGAGAGAGAGAGAGAGAGAGAGCGCGCGAGCAUCCGGCUUGGAAGAGAAGCAAAGGCUCCUGAAGGAUGUGGCGUCCCUGAUGGGUCUUGAGAGAUGGGAGAUCUUCCACCAGUGAUGAUGAAGGGAGCGAAGGGUAGGUGGGGUGGACAGAAGAGGGUGAACUGUUAUUUAAAAAUGAAAUGCAUACAGACUGGCUCAGUCAGUAGAGCACGUGACUCUUGACCUCAAGGUUGUGAGUUCAAGCCCCAAGUUUGGUGUAGACAUUGCUUAAACACAAAACCUUAAAAAAAAAAAAAAAAAAGAAAUGCAUACAUAUAGGAGAAAAACUUAAAAACACAGACCACUUAAAAAAAAAUCCCAUUAAUUUGACCUCCCAAAGGCAACCAGUGCUAUAAGUUUGACAUAUUUCUUUUGGGUAUUUUUUUUUCCAAUGCAUAUUUUGUAACGGAGGGUCCACUUGGUCCCUCUCGGGGAGUUUUUAGUAUGCUUGGCUCAACUGAUAAGAGCGGAUGUAAAAGCCCCUCCCUGCCACCCUUGAGAGCUAUCUGGGAGGGGCCCGACUGCCUGUUAAAAGGAGCUCUGGUUGCUAACACUAUAAAAUUACACCCUCCUUCCCCAAGCUCCGUUCUUGGGACACACGACCGGCUGGUCACCAUUUCCGGGAGGCACCAUCCAGCGUAGCAAAGGCAAAGUCAAACAAGCUGAAGGUACCGAUCAAAACAUGUUCACAUCCUUCUAUACUUGUCAAGACAUCAAUCAACACCAUUAGGCGAUUUUUCUCCAUGGGGCUCUAUCACUGCAGCGCAGGAAAAGUAGCAAGGGGAUGGUUGGAGGAGUUUCAGGUUAAGGAAGAUGUUUCUAUUCGUUCAUUAAGCAAACUUUUUUUUUUUUUUUUUUUUUUAAGCCCCAGAAAGAGAUCAUGUCUGUUUUAAGAUGUUUGUCUUCCAUCCUGGAGAAAGUCAUUCUUUUUAGAAGAAUGGGCCAAGUGUCUCCUUCUAAAUUUAGCAAGAAAGAAGCAGAAAGCAAGUUGAGGUUUUUCUUAUCAAAGACAGUUCGAAACUUCCGAUUCUGUGAUGUGUCUUAGGCGUAAUUUUUAAUGGGGUGUGGCCUGGACCAGCAGGGUUUUGACAGGCAGAAGAGAGAGAGCGUUCCAGAAAGAGGCAUCAGGGUAUGUGAAAAUGGGAUAACAGGUGUACUGGGGAAUGAGGAGGGACUCAGUUGCCUGAUUUGGAUGGAACAGGUGAACGUUUCUGAAGAUCCGAAGGUACCUUUAGAACCCACAUGGAAUCCACUCUGGUGAGUAAAGUGGGACCUCCAUCCAGCUGCAGGGGCUUAAGGACAGUGUCCAGAGAGCACACAGCGACGCAGGUGGUAUAAGCUUCAGGGUCAGCAGGGGGACCCGGUUGGUCCCCCAGGACCAUUCUGCAGCGCUCCCAUGGGCAUUCUUUCUGGCCGAGCUGCCUCAGAUUCUCUGUCCCUUGUGAAGAUUCUCUGACCACAAAAUCUCCUUUAUCAAAUUCUUUUUUCUACCCAGAACAGCCCGAGAUAGCUUCUGUCGCAAGGCCGAGUCCUCAUUGUAGGACGAGUACAUUUGAGGAAAGGUGGGAGGAGAGGCGGGGUGGGGUGUUUGUGAUGUCAUCUGACAUGGGACACGCGUCAAUCAGAGCACUGGCUGUGGUAAUACAGUCUCAUUUCUCAGACAAUUCGUAAAAGAAUAUAUUAAGCAUCUGAAGAAUGAUGUAGCUUCAGUAAUAACAAAAUUGCAAAUAAAAUCAGCGUGAUGGAAGAGAGUGAAAAGGAAAUGCUCCGCGCUGAUAAAGAUGUGAGGGCGUGGACAUUUGUGGUUCCGUGACAUAGAGUUUCUAGAAUAAAAUCUGGCAUUAAG